rnacentral:rRNA from 1 species
AGUGAACGCUGGCGGCGUGCCUAAUACAUGCAAGUCGAACGGAGUGGCGCACGGGUGAGUAAUAUAUAGCUAAUUUGCCCCUUGCUGGAGGACAACCGUUAGAAAUGACUGCUAAUACUCCAUAGCAAGGGAUGAGACUAUAUCAUAUCAGCUAGUCGGUGGGGUAACGGCCUACAGAUGCUAUGACGGGUAACUGUUCUGAGGGGAUGAUCAGUCACAUGGUAACUGAGACACGGUACAAACUCCUACGGGAGGGAGCAGGAGGGAAUAUUGCGCAAGGGGGAAACCCCGGACGGAGCAACGCCGCGUGGAGGAUGACACUUUUCGUAGCGUAAAUUCUUUUUGUUAGGGAAGCGGUACCUAACGAAUAAGCACCGGCUAACUACGUGCCAGCAACCGCGGUAAUAC